GGUGUUAAAAGGUAGACGGUAGGGAGUGUUUGAAGUGGGACAGCAGGAGAAGGAAGAAGUGGAGAGAAGGAAGCUUUCACAAUAGCUGGGUGCCCCCCCCCCCCCGGAACAUAGGCCACCAGCUCUCCUACUAAAUUUCCAUAUCCGUUUUCAGUACCAGGAAUUAAUGGAGGACUUCAGGGAGGUUCUCACCGUGGAUACUGGGUUCGCAAAGCAUUUCCAUGGUGGUUAAUUGUCGCUGUCCGGCUGGGUGGCCGAUGAAGCUGGGGAAAAGGUACAAGAAUCUCAGGAGCCAAGAAAGGAAGAGGUUAGGAUAAGAUAGAGUGUAGCUCGCAGCUACUGCCGGCUCUUCUAAAACCAGGUAGUGCCAUGGGCGAUCGUUAAUCUGAGGGUCUGCAGCGCAGUCCCAGAAGAUAAUAUGACGGCAAAGAGACUGAGGGGAAAGACCCCAGUUAAGGCGGCAGCACUCCUGGCAACCAGGUCAGCUUGGUGACAUUUGCCCUCACAGGGGCUGAGGGCUUCAGCUGCCUAAAAAGCCAUUUGCUCAGGCUUGCCCUGUCUGGCAACUUCUAUGCAUUUAAAGGGUCCUUGCUGGUUUCUGAGGCACCCCCUCUACCCCCGAAUCCUCCGGCAGACACCGUCUUCCGAAGACGAGGGAAGCUCCUGGGAGACAUUCGCCCCAUCGUCUGCCUCUAAGCUACUGCUAUAACCUUCCCACAGCAGUCAGGAUCAGCUGGCAGAUCCCUAAAUUAAGGUUCUGAUUACUCUGUUGUUCCAGAGGCUUGUUUUGAGCAAGAUGCUGUGCUUUAAUUAAAAAGAUGAGCGCUCAUGAGUAAGUGAAAAUAUUUUCGACGCUUCACAAAUAUGUUUGACUUUCAUUUUCUUGCAUGUCACAGUAGGGGUGGGGGGGUCAGGCUGGUCAGCACUUUUAUCCAUGAGACCAAUAAAAACCUUUCCUGCUAGCUAACAGCUGGCUCUUUGCACAGCAGAAUUGUAAAGGGGGUUCGAAGUCCGGAAUCUGUUCCUUGGGCGUCUCUGUUUGCAGAUUUCCGCCAGCAUUCAGGUGUCAUUAGGACACAUUUCUCAUUUACCUUUGCAGCCAGAGAUUCUGAAAUGUUUCCUAACAGCAGCGCCACAGCUGGAAUGCAGCUGCUGCAGGGUGGAGCCAACACAAACUCCUUGUGGGUCAGCCGGGUGAGGGAGGGCAAGGAAUCUUGGAAGGUUGGGAAAGUCCUUCUUUCUAAAGCCAGAGCUCAGGAAUGAGUGGGGCCUCUGGUGUGAAAGCUUUCCAGAUGGGGGAAGGAAGGGUAAGUUUUUGCCCUCUGGGUAGAUUCCAAAAAAUCGCUUUGGGGAGGCCAAGUAUUUUGAAACUGCCUUUAAAGCAAACAGCACAAAUGUUUAUAUUGACCUGGAAAACCCUUCCUUUUUCCUUUCCCUACAAUCCAAGUCUGUUCCCUUGAAUAUUAAUCAACAGGAACGUUUGCCCAAGCUUUUCUCCUCCCCCACCUCUUUUUUUAUUAUUAUUAUUAUCUUUGGUUCAAAAAACUUUUGGAAGCUUUUCCAGGCUGGAGCUAUAGAAUGCUUCCAGGAAAAUGCAUAAGGAGUGUCUGUAUUUUGUGUUUCUCUGGAGGGGGCUAACCGUGUUUUUCAGAGAGACUGAGCUGGGGGCAGCCAGGUCUUGUGCAAGUGGCCAGCCAAGCAAAAGGGCAAACGGUACCAGAAAGAUCUGUGCACAUCCCAAAGCACUGAAACGAAGUCCCUAAGGUAUGUCGGAAGAAGAAUUAGUGUUCAUACACACACUAACGAGCGAGUGACACAGCAACGAGCGAGUGUCCACUGCGAGGCCCCACCCAGCUCCUAAGGGUGGUCAGCAGGUCACGGCAAGCGGGAGAUGCAAUGCUAAUGACUCCAGCUCCACGUGGCAACCAUUCAGGAAAAAGCUGCAAUGUUCUCUCUGCCACAUUAAUCAGAGAAACACAUCAAGAGCUGUUGCGUGGAGACAGCUUUCCUCCCAGUACCUGCCCUGCAUACUAAUCACCACCCGCUCCUGGCGGAAACACUGGUGAGAAGGUGGAUCCUGUGUCUGGGGAAGUACCUCCAUCCUCAACGCCGGGAAAGGAACUUAGGAUAGAAACUUCUCCUUAUCCUCAAGAAGCAUCCCAGUAAAACACCAGCAGCAGCAGGUGGCUACGACCCACUGAGUCGCGAGCUGGCUGGGUGUCAACACUGCGAGCACCUGAAGCCAGGUUCAUCACAGGAGAGGGACAGGGUGAAGUUCCCUAGCUGAGCCUGGACGAACUGGAUGUGGUCGCACCUGCUUGCAGAGGUGUCAGCAUAGAAUAGAUCAGAGUUGGUGACGACCAAACAGCCUUGUUGGGCUCCUUGUUGGGCUCCUUCCCAUGCACCUCCCCUGCUGCAGGCCGCCCCCCUCAGAGGGGCUUCACCCCACGGGCUGUCUCCGCAGGGUCUACUGGACGACCUGGCCAGGGGAUGCAGGGGAUGCAGGUCAGAAGGCCAGGAUGGAUGUUGGGUUGUUAUUGGUCCGCUCCAAUGUCACAGGGGCCUUUGAUAUGGAUCCAGGUCACGUCCAGCUCUCCCAGCCAGGGUUCCUCCUUCAAAAGAAAAAACUAAGAGACCUUGGAGGAACUCACUGUCCCAAAAAGUACAGUAAGGAGUGGGAACUUGCAGAAGGCUCUGGUAGAUGAGGGAGUUAGGCAAGGAGCACAGAGGAAAGGAGGGUACUUUUCUUUUUAAUAUUUAUCUAUUUGGUUGCACCAGGUCUUAGUUGUGGCUCGUGGGCUCCUUAGUUGUGGCAUGCGAACUCUUUAGUUGUGGCAUGCAUGUGGGAUCUAGUUCCCUGACCAGGGAUCGAACCCGGGCCCCCUGCAUUGGGAGCGUGGCACCUUACCCACUGUGCCACCAGGGAAGUCCCGGGUACUUUUCUUUACACUAGCUUUUUUCUCUCCAUAAAAAAAUGUGAACACAGACGUAAAGAGAGAAAAAAUGAAAAGUUCCUUUUUUUCCCGUCUCUCACUAAUAUCCCUGCUUCCUUAGCAGUAACCUAUAUUAGCAGUUGGCUCUAUAUCAUCCCAGACCUUUUCUGGGCAUUUACACACACACACACACACACACACACAUACCCAUGCGUGCAUGAUGCCAGGAUGUUUGUUUUUCUUUGCUUUUACAUAAAUGGGAUCAAGCCGACCAUAUUGUCCUGCAACUUCUCCCCCAUAACAAUAUAUCUUGGACAUUUUUUUCAUGACCACAUAUAUAGAGCAUCCUCAUCUGCUGUUGCUUUUCUCUUUUUUCUAAUUUCUGCAUAGUAUUGCACGUGCGAAUGUAACACAGUUGAUUCAACCACCCCCUUUCCACUCACUCCCUCACUCAGGGUCCCUGUUGCGGCCCAACUCUGGGGGGCGUUUGUGGUAAGUGAUACUGCUGCACAGCCCAGGGGACCCCAUCCACGCUCAGGCUGCAGCCGCCCCUCCCACCUCCCAUGAACAGACUUUUUCCCAUGCAAACAAUUCUACAACCAGCAUCCUUGCCCAUGCCUCUUGGGGCACACACACAAGUAUUUCUGUGGGUGUUGAUACCUCGCGUGGGUGGAAGUGCGCGCCCUGCCAAGGUGUGGGAGGGCGCUGACAGCCUCCUCUGCCCCCAUCCCCCCAGCACAUAUCCAUCACUGGCUGCCGCCUGGGCCGCGGCUUCCAGGAAAUCCAUUGCAAAGACAGGAUUGUCAGUGGCUCACACGCUGGGGGCCAUCCAGGGAGUAGAUGAAAUUGUAGGAGAAAAUCCUACCCGGCUCCAGACCGCUCGUAAUGGAGACCCCUUGGUGACCUUUCCGGAGAAGUUAAAGAACACAGGCAGACACACUCACCCUCCAUCGUCCACCACCAGUCCACCUGCCGGGAGCACAGCCCUCUGUCCUUGGAGAAGCCGCUCCUCAUUAGCAGGCCUGGUGGGAAGGGGGAGGCUGGUGCACGGCCCAGGCCGCCGCUGUGCAGGUAAGGAGGCCAGCGGGGACAACUGCUUCCCUGGAGGGUGAACCCAGUGGACCACAGGGCCCUUAGCUGCUCAAGGUCAAGGUACCUGCCCCCUUCCGCCGCCCCCUAGAGAGACCAUCUGGCAGCCAGGCAGCGAUCCUCCAGUGAUUCCCCUCCACCCAGUCCCCAGGCCAACGGAUCCUGCAGCUGCAUUCAGCCCUCCUUCCUCCCUCUGUUCAAACAGAGGUGCCGGCCCCGUGGCCUCAGUUCUUAUUAUCCAGCUUGGCAGCCUUGCCCUGCACCUCCGGGAGGAGGGGGCCUCUGAGCGCAGUGCCCAUGAAGGAGGUGCCGGUGGACGAAUCCAACAUUUUCCUUACCCGGGAGGGUGGCCUGAGCCUUUACCUGGUUUCACAGCAGCUAGGUUCAUAAUUCCUCACCCUCCACCCCUCACCCCCGUUCCUCCCCUUCUUGAUUCCACCCACCCACUCCCACACCUGGCCCCGCACAGAAAACCCAGCCAUUGCUGUGAACGUGGGGAAAUACGCAAUCGUUUUCUGUAUGCAGCUGUCUCCCAGCUCUCCAGGCCUAUUUACCUGAUAAUGACUUAAAAAAUAACCCUAGCUACACCUAUUGGGCAGUGUGCCAAGUGCUUUAUGUAUAUAUCUGACUUAAUUUUCGCAAACUCUACACAGUAGAUACUGCUAAGGAUUUACAGGUGGGGAAAUGGAGGCUCAGAGAGGUUAAGCAACUUGAUUCAGGUCACACAGCUGGUGAAUGCUAGAGCCAGGACUGGAAACCAGGUCCCCAUCAUUCUCCAAGGCUAUGAGCUUAACGGUUGUGCUACCCUGGCUCCCACUUACUUCAUUUCAUUCCUUCUUCUGGGUUGUCCCAAGGACCGGGUUGAGCUGGCCAAUUCCCCAGGCUGCCCCCCAGACUGGAGGGAGCUGUGGCUUCCGGUCCCUGGAGCCGUGUGGGUUCCUGGCAGAGGAAAGACCCUCACAUCUCCGUGUCCAGAUUCUCUGACUCUCUCAUGAGCACACCCAGGCCCCCUCCAGGCCAGUAGAAACUGACAGCCCACCCUGCCUGCCAGCAAACACUUUGGCUGGCCUGGCCAGCUCAGCCUGAGGACGGGGGAACUUCCUCCGGGCAGCACCUCACCGCCUGGACCCAGGCAGGGGCUGGUUUCAGGGCUGCCCAUCCGCAAGCAGGCUGGGAGGCGGGAAAGGGAGGCAGCCCCCAUUCCAGAGGGGCUUUUGCUGCCCUCGUGUGGCCUGGACACACAGCCCUGCACCUCCCUCCUCCCUCCUUCCUCCUUGCUGUUAUCCAGCCUUCCCAGCUGCCAAGAGCCCACACCCAGUCCCAGCCCUGGUGCAAGUGCCCAGGUUAUUUUGCGGCUGAGGAGAGGGCAGCACGAAGGCCAGGGAAAUUCACAACCACCAGUUCGUACCCCAGAGCAAAUAACAUGGAUGGAGGUGAAAUUUAUGUAUCUGUUGACCUGAAAAGAUGUCCUAGUAUAUUGCGCUGUUAAAAAAAAAAGGGGGGGGGGGGAAGGAAGCAGGUUUUAAAGCUGUGUACAGUAAGAGAGCAUUUUAUUAAUUAAACAAAAGUAUUAUCUAUGUAACUAAUCAUAGAAAGAGGAUAUUUGCCAAGAUGUUAACAGAUGAUUUUUGUUUUCUUCUGUUGGCUUAUCUGUGUUUUCUAUUUUUUUCAAUGAACAUCCAUUACCCAGAUAAUUUUAAAAAGCAAUCAAAAUAAACCAAUCCCAGACUGAUUGUACAUCUUCCUGUCCCCCCUACCCCCAACAGCUCUCCAAAAAAGAAUCACAGAUCCAUAUUCCUGGACCUUCCUUUCUGUCUCCAAUCAUUUCCACAUCUCAGUCGGCGUGUGUUGGUUGGAGGUGGGGGGAGGAUUCCUACCUGUUCCAGGAAGCCUUCCCCUGACUAAUGGGAGGUGUGAAGGCUUCUUUGCCCAGGGGGCUUUUUCUCACUGACCCAGCUCUGCCCAAAUGCACAGUGCCUGGAGGCCGUCUUCCCUCCCUCUGGUGCCUUUUCAUGGAAGAGGAAAUGCUCUGCUUUCUACUGCAUUGUUUGUUCCUGCAGGCUGAGCCGACUUCCCUGAGGCUGAGAUGCUCAGAGGCAGCCCAACCCUCCAUCACAUGGACCGGAGCCCCAGGGCAAAUGGUUCCACUGUCUAGAGGUGAUUAUGGCAAAAUGAAGAGUGAGGGCAAAGAAGUGACAGAAAAGAAAGAGCAGUGCUUCAGGAGAGGGCUAUGCUGCCCCUUCCAGAAGGACCCGAGGAAACUAGGAAGGAGAUGGGAACGGAGAUUCCCGAGCAUUUCCUAUGUCCACACAGGGGACCCUCCGAAGACAGGCCCUUGCCCCUCACUUUGUGCGGGUGAGGCCACCGAGGCAGAAAAGCGCCUAGGCCUUAGCUUCCUGCAUCUCUGGUGCUUCACGCCACCGUGUCUCACGACAGAGGAGGCUCCUGAAAAGGUCUCUGGAUGGAGAAAUUAGCGUUGGUGGGCAGUGUCUUCUCCCACCCACCCCCGCCGUGUUAGCCACUGCCCAGGCUCCCCAAGAGCCAUAGACACCCCUCUGCUCAGGAACGGCAGCUGGGACCAAGCACUGUCCUGCAGGGGAUGGCCCUCUGAGCGCCUGCUCGUUUAAUGAGGAAGGUUGCUAAUGUCAUUGUUCUGGCCAUCAGAAAGGCAGCCUAGAGGGCCCAGAGAGCUAGCCGGCAACCCAACAGAACCUAGGGUUCAAGGGAAAGGAGCAGAGGACCUUUAGUGUCACCCUGAACCCCCAACCUUCAAAUCACAUUCCCUGAGGUGGCCAUCCCCAGAGACGCAGGAACCAGGCUCCCAUCGCUGCCAAGCCUCCACACACAGGACAAAUGUGGCAGUUUGCACACCUAAUUGGGAGGCAGGAGACCCUCCCUGGUACUCUUUGAGCUCUGUUCCUAGCCACCUGGGUCAUCUAGGCCAAGUGACUCCUCACCACCACACCUCCCCUUCUACCUACACGGUGCUGUGGCGUUAAGAAGGGCUUCUAAGGGUGCUGCUGAAGAAUGCUCAGCCCCUGGCAGCGUCUCCUCCCUUAAUGGGGGUCUCGUAAUGAGUUCCAUGCCCUGAGCAACUCGGUUUGUGGACAGGUAGUCGAAGCGUGAUUGAUAGCGACACCCCGUGGACACAAUGGGUAACUGCAGUCACCUGGACGGAAGUCACAGGACGACCUUCAACUUUCUUCAUUAUGUGGAGAGGAGCUGAUUGCAAUUAAUCCCACUCAUCACCUUUCACAGGGAGCUGUCUUAGAGCUGAAAAAGAAUCCUUCCCCAAACCAGAAAACAACCCUCCAGCCACACAUUUCCAUCAGCCUCCAGCUAAACACCUGUUUCGUUUCAACUUGUCCCUUUUCAAAUAUUGACCUGAUAGAAGUAUCUAGUGGCCAUGGAGGGAGAGUAAUGUCAACAAUAAUAUUAAUAGAGGAAAUAUGUAAAGGGCUGUUGACUUUUGCCAUGAAUUUCAUGCAUUAUCUCAUUUAAUCUUCCCAGCAAACCGUGCAGGUAUGUGCUCUUACCCCCAGCAUUCAGAGGAGGAAUCAGAGACUUGGAGCAUAAGGGGAAGCUAAGUUUCAAACCUGGGCAAUCUGGCAUCAGACCCCAUUCUCUUUUAAACA